rnacentral:rRNA from 1 species
AAAGACGGUUUCGGCUGUCACUUACAGAUGGACCCGCGGCGCAUUAGCUAGUUGGUGAGGUAACGGCUCACCAAGGCGACGAUGCGUAGCCGACCUGAGAGGGUGAUCGGCCACACUGGGACUGAGACACGGCCCAGACUCCUACGGGAGGCAGCAGUAGGGAAUCUUCCGCAAUGGACGAAAGUCUGACGGAGCAACGCCGCGUGAGUGAUGAAGGUUUUCGGAUCGUAAAGCUCUGUUGUUAGGGAAGAACAAGUGCAAGAGUAACUGCUUGCACCUUGACGGUACCUAACCAGAAAGCCACGGCUAACUACGUGCCAGCAGCCGCGGUAAUACUUAUGUGGGGAGCGUUGUCCGGAAUUAUUG